rnacentral:rRNA from 1 species
AGCGAACGCUGGCGGCAGGCCUAACACAUGCAAGUCGAACGAUCCUUCGGGAUAGUGGCGGACGGGUGAGUAACACGUGGGAACGUACCUUUAGGUUCGGGAUAACUCAGGGAAACUUGAGCUAAUACCGGAUGUGCCCUUCGGGGGAAAGAUUUAUCGCCUUUAGAGCGGCCCGCGUUAGAUUAGCUAGUUGGUGAGGUAAAGGCUCACCAAGGCUCCGGUCUAUAGCUGGUCUGAGAGGAUGAUCAGCCACACUGGGACUGAGACACGGCCCAGCCACCUAGGGGAGGCGGAAGGAUGGAAGCUUAUGCAAUGGGUGAAGGUCUGAAGCAGCCAUGCCGCGUGAAUGAUGAACGUCUAAGGAUUGUAGAGUUCUUUUAGCAGGGACGAUAAUGACGGUACCUGCAGAAAAAGCCCCGGCUCACUUCGAUGCAGCAGCUGUUGAUU